CCAGUACCCGAUGUCUAAACGCUGUGAUGGUCAUUUAGAGCUGGGGGUUACUAAUGCAAAACAAAUGAGUGUAUUUGUUUCAACACUAUUUAUUGACUUGACGUACCCCAAAUGUAUAAUAUAGGAUUCCCAGAAGCUUUCCUAUGCUUGAAGUGACUGGUUAUGAGUGCACAGGCAAAACGUCCCACCAGGUCUCUUGCAUAUAUUGCUCAUCUUGAUUUGUUAACCAGACCUUCACAAAACCAGUAAAAGCAGUAAAAAAAACAGUUUUAAACUUCAUCACCAUUUUGUCAAAGAUGAUGACGAGUCACAGAUGAUGUUGCUGGUCUACUCAUAGCAAUUUCCGCCAUAAGGAGGAUGGUGCUGCAGGUUGAAAGACUCAGAACUUCACAGACAAAAGGCUGCUGUGGCUUUCUCCCAGUCACCCAAUCACAGAUUAGGUCAACUGUCCAACUGCUGUUUAAUUUCAGAACGGUGUUGGUUGUUGCAUGUAAAGACUCUUUCACAAAUCAAAAAUAAUGUUUAUGUCUGUAUACGUUGCUCGUGAAUGUUUAACAAGAAUUGAUCGCCGCUAUGUUGAACGAGCAAUUAGGAGCCAACAUGGCACGUUGUCAUAGAAACGGUAAAAAAAAAAAAAAAAGAACAGGGAGGCAGAAAUGCUACGUCCCAGUGCUUCCCACCGCCAUGCCUGUGCAU